UACGUAGGGGGCAAGCGUUGUCCGGAAUCAUUGGGCGUAAAGCGCGUGUAGGCGGUUCGGUAAGUCUGCUGUGAAAGUCCAGGGCUCAACCCUGGGAUGCCGGUGGAUACUGUCGGACUAGAGUACGGAAGAGGCGAGUGGAAUUCCUGGUGUAGCGGUGAAAUGCGCAGAUAUCAGGAGGAACACCGGUGGCGAAGGCGGUUCUCUGGGCCUGUACUGACGCUGAGGAACGAAAGCGUGGGGAGCGAACAGG
rnacentral:rRNA from 1 species